rnacentral:rRNA from 1 species
CCUACGGGAGGCAGCAGUGGGGAAUAUUGGACAAUGGGCGAAAGCCUGAUCCAGCAAUGCCGCGUGAGUGAUGAAGGCCUUCGGGUCGUAAAGCUCUUUUACCAGGGAUGAUAAUGACAGUACCUGGAGAAUAAGCUCCGGCUAACUCCGUGCCAGCAGCCGCGGUAAUACGGAGGGAGCUAGCGUUGUUCGGAAUUACUGGGCGUAAAGAGUACGUAGGCGGUUAUUCAAGUCAGAGGUGAAAGCCCGGGGCUCAACCCCGGAACUGCCUUUGAAACUAGAUAACUAGAGUCUUGGAGAGGUUAGUGGAAUUCCGAGUGUAGAGGUGAAAUUCGUAGAUAUUCGGAAGAACACCAGUGGCGAAGGCGACUAACUGGACAAGUACUGACGCUGAGGUACGAAAGCGUGGGGAGCAAACAGGAUUAGAUACCCUGGUAGUCCACGCCGUAAACGAUGAUAACUAGUUGUUCGGUCACUUGGUGACUGAGUGACGCAGCUAACGCAUUAAGUUAUCCGCCUGGGGAUACGGUCGCAAGNUUAAAACUUAAAGAUAUGG